rnacentral:rRNA from 1 species
AUUGAACGCUGGCGGCAGGCCUAACACAUGCAAGUCGAGCGGAGCGGCGGACGGGUGAGUAAUGCCUAGGAAUCUGCCUGGUAGUGGGGGAUAACGUCCGGAAACGGGCGCUAAUACCGCAUACUAUCAGAUGAGCCUAGGUCGGAUUAGCUAGUUGGUGGGGUAAGGGCCUACCAAGGCGACGAUCCGUAACUGGUCUGAGAGGAUGAUCAGUCACACUGGAAAUGAGACACGGUCCAGACUCGUACGGGAGGCAGCAGUGGGGAAUAUUGGACAAUGGGCGAAAGCCUGAUCCAGCCAUGCCGGGUGGGGGAUGAAGGCUUUCGGGUUGUAAACCUCUUUCGCUAUCGAACGGGUAGGUGGAGAAGAAGCGCCGGCUAACUACGUGCCAGCCGCCGCGGUAAUAC